rnacentral:rRNA from 1 species
UAAUACAGAGGUCCCAAGCGUUGUUCGGAUUCACUGGGCGUAAAGGGUGCGUAGGUGGCGGGGUAAGUUUGAUGUGAAAGCUCCGAGCUUAACUCGGAAAUGGCAUUGAAUACUAUCUUGCUCGAGGUUUGGAGGGGGGACUGGAAUUCUCGGUGUAGCAGUGAAAUGCGUAGAUAUCGAGAGGAACACCAGUGGCGAAGGCGAGUCCCUGGACAACACCUGACACUAAGGCACGAAAGCUAGGGGAGCAAACAGGAUUAGAUACCCUGGUAGUCCUAUGCUGUAAACGGUGCAUAUUUGCUGUAAGAGGAUUCGACCCCUUUUGUGGCGAAGCAAACGCGUUAAAUAUGCCGCCUGGGAAGUACGGUCGCAAGAUUA